UAAAGCCAUUCCCCAUUGUCCUAUCACUAUCAGAUCGUGGAAGAAGUUGAUCCCCUUCCUGCUUGUAAGCUCCCUUCAAGUACUGGAAAAUCUGCAAUGAGGUCUCCAAAAAGCCUUCUCUUCUUUAAGUUACAUAAGCUCAACUCCCUCGACCUUUCUUCAUAGGAGUGGUUCUGACGUCCUUACAGCAGUUUGCACUGGAAUGAACUCACUUGAAUAUAAGUAAGCAAUCCUUGGUAUGCUUCUUCAGUAAAGAGAAGAAACACAGGAGACAAUGUGCUCCCACAGCACUUCUUUAAGGAGCAUGUCAAAGUUUGAUCAACUUUUCUGGAAACCGUGAUGAAUCUGCUCACCAGUUCAGACAACGCACCCUUUUAUUUCCCCUGAUUCAGACAGCAACAGGAAGGCAGGAAAGCAGGUUGCCACAUGGGGCUUGGAAGAACUGACUGUCUUGCUAGGGUGCGGCUGGAUAUCAGACCUCAGGUUGCUCUCUAAGGCAAAACAGUGUUACCUGCUCAUCACACAUUGCAUGGUUGACCUCUUACCACAAGUGAGGACAGCUCUCGCCAGAAAUGGAACCAGAAGAAUCUCGGUACAAAAUAAAAAAUCUGUCUAGAGGAUAAGUAAAUGCUGGCAAUUAUUGAUAGCCAGUCAUGGUGAGGUCAUCACGGAUCCAUUCUGUUCAGAUAAGUUAUGCUGCUUUGUUGUCACAUUCUGACCUACAGCUGUGACCCUAUCAAUUAGAUGGAGGUAGAGCUGCUGGGGGGAUCAGAUAGAAGGAUUAAGAAACCCCGUGGAGAAAGCCAGCAAUUAUCCAUGAGUGUCACAAAGACAGAGGUGAUCAGAGUUCUGAGCGUUGAGGAAAAGCCUAUCUCCCUGAAGUCACCUAGCACUGAUUUCACACUCUGGCUAUCCUGUAUUUGCUGUAAUGGGGGAAAAAAUAAAUUUUUUCAAGGAAUGGGAAGGAGGACCCCAGCUGGUAGCGUAAGCCCUGACACCUGCGUACCAUCCUCCUUUGAGAUACUCAGCAAGUCUUUCCGUUUCUAUGCGCUGUACUUCUCCCUCUAAACUGCAGCUGGUAACUUUGAUCUUUUAUAAUUCCUGUACCGGUUUGGUCUGUCAGGCCUGAAAUGCAGCCAUGUGCGACUCAGCCAAACCAGCGGCAGUUUUGGUGCUUGUACACUUUCUUGCUUUUGCUGCUCCCUACUCAUAUUAAGAGAGUGUACUCUGAAAUAUAUCAGGAAGCCAGCUCAGAAAGCAUACUGUUUGGGUUUUUUUGUUUGUUUUUAUUUUUUUAUUUUUUAUUUUUCAGGAUUUGAAUAGCACAGUGAGCGCCAUGAGGUUCACAAAUUUCUGCAAGGAAUAGACACCAUGCAAAAUACUGAACUUUUGUCAGCAUAGCUAGGCUCCUUGUUUAACAUCUGAAGGCAGGUUUCAUCUUAAAUAUUUUCUAUUAGGGAAGUGGUUUUAUCUUACGCUUUUUUAUGUUAUUGAAGUGUUGGAUUUUUAGUAAUACCUAUUUUGUUGAUGAAGGUAAGUGCGCCCCAGUGCCUUCUAUACCAGAUGGAACAGGGAUUACAGAAACUCAUGUUGCAUUACUGCAAGAGAAACUCGGAAAUGAAAACCAGACAGUGACACAGAAGAGAUUACAGAACUGAAAUUGCAUAGUGAAUGGAAGAACAGGAUUUUGAGUAGCUCUUUAUUUUUAUCUCUUCUGAAAAAAAAAAGUGACUUUAGCUAUUAACUAUGCUAAUGUGGUUGAAGUGUGCUUUUAUAUGACUGUAGAUUUAUCUGAAAGAAGAAAAAGACAUGGAGCUUUCCUCCCUGAUCAGUACACACUUUCUAUCAACUAUCCUGUAGAUACUAUGUGAGAUUUAUGCUGCUUAUGCAUGAGUCUGUGCAUAUAAAUGUAAUUUCUUUUUCCAUAUGGGAGCCUUUACGUGUAGAGUGCAGCAAUAAGACAAUGUGUAAUGAUUUUAAACUGCAAGAGAUUAGGCUUAGAUUAGACGUUUCGAAGAAAUUCCUGACUGUGAGAGCAGUAAGGCACUGGAACAGGAACACAGAACAGAGAAGAUAUGACAUCCCCAUCCCUGGAAGCAUUUGAGGUCAGACUGGAUGCAGCUUUGAGCAGCCUGACGUAGUGCAAGGUGCCUCUGCCCAUGGCUGUUGGAGCUAGAUGAUUUAAAUCAUUCUGUGAUUCUAAAAUAUUUCUCUCUUUUUCCCUUUUUCCAAUUGAGUAGUAUUGAAUCUCAUGAAGAUGAAACCAAGGAAGAUCUUGUUGAAAGAAAGAUGAGAUAUCCUGAGUUUGCUUUCAUUUAAUUUAAGCACUUGGUGUGAAAACCUGCCAAAUUCUUCUGUCAAAUUGUUACCCAAAGAUACUAGUGAUGGCUUACUUUGAGAGCAGAGAUGAAAUCCAAAUUUUUUCUCACUUCAGGGCAAAAUCAUUACGAUGCAUCUAAUUCAGUUACAGCACACUGUUAAUUUCAUUUUCCGAGGUAAAAAUCAACAAUGUUGUCUGUAUUUGCCACUAAGUCUUGAAGAUAUUCAAGACUGAAGACUCUAAGCAAUAUCUUAAUUGAAUGUAUCAUUUAACUGCCAUUUUACUCUGGUUCCACCUUUAUUUGAGGAUAUUUUUAUGUGAAGACCAACUUAAAACACAGAAAUAUUAUAUCCAAGAUGGAUGAGGAGGUUGUUAUAUAUUUGUGGGUUUUGCUUCACAACACAUCUUGAGAAGUUCUGAAAUUUAUUGCUUAUCUCAUACCGUUAAUUUUAACGGGAAUCUGGAUUUUAGUUCCCAUUGUUAAGUUUGAGAAUUGGCUGUGACGAAAGGGCUUGCAAAGCUAGAGUUGAUGUAUGGUCAGUGAAAUACUAUUUGCCAAGGUGUAGCUCAGGAAGGUCACUUUCGAUGCUCUUUCAUUACCAUACCCUGCAACGUGCUGCAUUUAGGACACGGUGGGCCAUUACUCACAAGCAUGCUGCACAGAGCAAGGCCAAUGUUUCACUGCGUCUCCAGGGUGGUUGUAGUUGUGUUAGCUGGCGUACUGGAUUCCCUGGAGCAGAUGCUUAACAGCGCAGAGCAUUUUCUGCUAAGUGUUCUGGGCUGGGAUGUCCAAGCAGUAGCACAGCAGUUGUCAAAUGUGUAUUCCUUCUGGGUAUUCAUAGCUGUACCUUUCUCUCUUCAAGGACAGAACUAUUAUUGCUAUUACAGUCAUGUAUAUCCUUCCUUCCCUUGGUACGCAGAAAUUGAAGACCUAUAAGGACUUCUUUAUUGCAGGUAUCUCUUUUUGAAACCAUGUUUGAAUUAGGAAAGCAAUACAAGGACUGGAUUUCUUUUUUAAAAGUCAUUAUCUAGAGCCCUUAUCAGCACUGAUACGGGACUCUGAUGCAUUAACCUUCAAGGAUGAAAUUCUCUAAGCCUGCUUUUUACACAAAACAAUUCUGUUUUAAAACAUUUGAAGUGUGAAAACGCUUUUGUUGUUUCAGUUUAUAGAAACAAGUCACCUUUGACCAGAAAUGGAAAAAUUCAGUAUGGAAGAUAAUGGUUCAGCAACAACAACAAAAAAAUCUGUCACUGCCAUGACAUUGACAGCAAAAUUUGUAACUUCUAUGUGUUUUUUUUUUUUAUCUUUUUUUUAAAUUAAGUUGUUGGAGAAAAAUUUUGAUUGAAUUGGUCCAGAUUGAAUCUAGUCAUAAAGCAAAAUGCAUUUUUUUCUGUGGAGAGUUCUGCUAUGAUAAAAUGUUUCUCAAUCAAAAUGAGCUAAAAGUGAAAAUACUGCAGCUUUGUCAAAAAGCUGGAAAUAUUUUACUUCACAAAUUGGUACUUUGCAUUGGUGCUGAUAUUGCUCUCCCGGAAGUUAGGGACUUCAGUGGCUGUGAAGACCAUAAAAUGUGGCUGAAGAUCCUUUGUCCUCACCUGAAGAACAAAAGAUUGGGACUGGAUUUUGGCGCUGUUGUUCUUUUCUUGGAAGGGAUUCCAGGAAAUGAUAAAGCUGGCAGGAAAAUUGGUGUCUGAGUUCUGGUAACCCGUUUCUGCUGGCAGAAUGAGGAGAUAGACACAGUACAACCUUGUGGGAUAAGGGGAAGAAGGUUGGAAGAAAGAAAUGAAAAUUGUGCUGGGGCCCCUGUUCCAGCAGCGAACACUACCUUAUAUACCUCCAGUUUCUCUCUCUGACUGGCAGCAAGCAGAGGCUUCUAUGGAUUUGGCACAGGCAGAAUAGGAAGAAAAGAAAAAUGCAUAAUUAAAUUUUACAAUUGGCUAAUGCCAUGUGCCCUCUGUUAGUGGGAUAGAAAAGAGUCAAGUUUGUACUUCUUUACACUUUUUCUGUUUGGGUUGUCAGAUGUGUCAUAGACAAGCACUAACACGUUGUUUUCUUCUUCAUACCUUCUGUGCAAACAAUGAGAUGCAUAUUCUAAUCUGUGGCUCACUCUAAACCAUGCAAUUUCUUGAGAAGUUUUCCAAGCCCUGAGCUUCUAACAUUCAUUCUUUAAUACGAGAAGGUGGCCAGGCCAUGCUAAUUCUUUCAUUUUUCUUUGCAAUUAAGAUGUUUCUGGUGUCGUGUGAAGCAUGUCUGACUUCUCAGAGAUGUCAGAAUCACAGUAGGAUGACUUUGAUUGUUUACGCUCUAGCUUAUAACAGUCUGAAGAUGAAUUCCCAAAUCCAUCUGUGGCUAUUUAAAACCUCUGGAAGAACAACCCGUAGAAAACAUGUACUGCUGAAUUAGUUUUGCUCAUUGUUAUAUAAUUCUUUUCUCAUGCCAUAUUCAUCAGAACAUGUUUCUUAACAUGUCCUUGCGCCAUUCAGAAAUGAACAUGAUUGCAAAUUAUCUCUUGGUUUUUGACAAUACCUUCCUCUUGUUUCAACAACAAAACUAGAGGUGGUUUUGGAUUAUUCAUUAAUUCUGUGAAAUGACUUUGAACCUCUUCACAUUGCCUAUUUGCUGUCCACAGUGCAAGACAGAUGAGCUUGAUGCAGAUACAUCUCAAAGUUGGAGUGUACGAUGCCUCUUGAUCUACUUUUAAGCCAGCCUUUCUGCCUGGAUCUUUACAGUCUAUCUCUGUCCAGGGUAUAUAACAACAAAACCUUGCCAUGAGAGAGCCUACAAGCUGGGAAGGUACCUCGCACGGAAGCAGCUGCCCUGAGGAGCACUCAUGAGAUUGCCUGCCCUAGGCAUGGUAGGACUGCAAGAGCUGAGAUAAAGGCUUCAACACCGUUGCUAACUGGAGAAGUACUCUUCCCAACAGCUGCUCAAUCCAGAUUUCAGCAUCCAUUCCAGCUACUGAUAAUUUUAUCCUCAGUAUAGCUUUAAUUAACUGUGUUGUACACCAUAGUAGAUCUACCUUGUUAAACUGCUGCUCUUUGUUUUAGUGGAAAUGCUA